ACAGAUUCUUGAAAGCCUGGAAAUGUGGUAACAAUUGCUUUUCUCUCAUAAUAGACAAUUCACCUUUAAUAAUUUUUGAAGAUUAAAUGGCUAUGGCUUCUAUAUCUCUGGAGAAAUAAUGAAUCAUGAUAAGAAUGAAUAUUGCCUGUUCCUUGCUGCUCUAUUGAAACUAUUACGUAAGAGAGAUAACCUCGGCUCUGACUCUUGCCCAUUCAUGACUGACUACUAACCACUGGCCAUGGGAGAGUUGUUCUUAGUGGAGAAGAGAAUACAGUUUAAACGUUCUGAAUUAAUUAAGAGAGGGGUGCAAAUAUGAGAAAAAAGAGCAGGCCUCAUGGAGAUAUCAACUUAACACUGCAGUAACAAGAUGCAAUAAGAGCAGACAUAAACUCUCACAUCAAGGCUAGGAGAAGUAACCCAACAGAACUGCCUCUGAUUGCCACAAACUCUACUACAUGGAUUGUAUGAAUGGGACAGAACUGAAACUGAACAAAACUGCUGGAAUUCAACUGAGCUGAACUGUACUCAACUGAACUGCAAGGAACUGAAGUGAACUCUCCCUUCAUUGCUCUUAGUGUGAAGAUUUCAUUCCAGUUAGAUUAUCACCAGCAAGUGAAAUGCCACUCAGUUUUGUUCAUAAAGAUCCACUCUUCUGUCCUAUCUCCCCAGAAUAGACAGGACUCCUAAGGACAUCAAGGAAAUCCAACAUAACAGGAUGCGGUAAGAUUAGUUACAAAGCUUCACAUAAAGGUGGGGAGAG